UUCAGAGUGUGGCAUAGUGGUCUGAGCGUUGGACUAUGACUCUGGAGACUAGGGUUCGAUUCCCAGCUUAGAAA